GCUCACUUCAGCAACAUGUAAAAUUGGAAUCACACAGAGAAGAUUAGCAUGGCCUCUGUGCAAGGAUGACAUGCAAAUUCAUGAUGCGUUCCAUAUUUAA
rnacentral:snRNA from 1 species